rfam:Camelus ferus unplaced genomic scaffold scaffold1652, whole genome shotgun sequence.
GAGGGUAUAGCACAGUGAUAGAGUGUGUGUUUAGCAUGCACGAGGUCCUGGGUUCAAUCCCCAGUACCUCCA